CAAGGAUAUAGAAGCAUCCUAGCUCCACCUGUCUCCUGGAAUUCAGUCUCUGGGAAUGAGUGGAUAACCCUCCCUGGUUAACAGUUGAGUUUUUCUGAAAUGGUUUGGCGUUUUGAAGAUUCAAAAGUUGUCGAGUGAACCAUCCUUCCACAAAAACUACUUCUCAUGGCUGAUUGAGCUCCACUGAUGGAGUGACAUGGAGCUGCAUUGAGACAGUGCUGGGGUGACAGUGUUGAG